rnacentral:rRNA from 1 species
AUGGCAUUGGCAUUGACCCCGCGCGGGGCAGCCAAAACCCGAGGACAAAACCGAAAGAAAGCGACGCACGGAGAUAUAGGGGGAGCCGGGGAAAAUGGCCAAAAGUCACCGCGAUGUCGCCCCAGGAAACGCCGGGCGGAGAUACAGGAGGCCUCCAAAAAUCACCAUCACCGGGAGGGAAGACGCACCCGACCCCGACCCGGCCGCCCGUGGGUGGUGCGUGUCCUGUCUCCUGUGCGCGGGUUCCAGCUCACGCGCACGCACCCCUGCCCAACUAGAGAGAGUAACCCCUCCCCAAAAAAACCCAAACCGAUUCCCAAUUUACUCCCCACCCCCGGCUGCGGCAGCACGCUCCCCCACCCCCUUCCUCCUCCUCCUCCGCCCCCAACCCGCCGCCCCCAAUCCGGAGGAGGCAGGGAGGAAGGCCGGCCGCCCCCCGCCGCCCCGCCGGCCGCCCGGACCGACGGGGAGUCGCAACUAGACUAG